CCUGCCUCGGCCUCCCAAAGUGCUGGGAUUACAGGCGUGAACCACCGUGCCCGGCUACCAGGGAUUCUUAAAACUCUGGUAGACCUCAACCCCCAGCCUCGCCUUUGCUACCUAUUCCCAGGUACUGCUUAAACCAAAACCUUCUGAAAAGGCAGGUGCGUGACUACCAUCGGCAGGGCUUAGAUUUUUGGAUUAGGAAUGUGACACUUUAGGUAAAGACACAACUAUUGGGCUUUCCUGAGGUCAGCAAGGUGUAGGAUGGAAGGUGAAUUUUAGGAAAGAAGUUGGGUAAUAGGGAACCAUUCCUACUUUCCCCUCAGGGCCCUAAAGAAUAUAUAUCUAUAAAAAGUCUGGCUGAGAUUUAAGUCAGGGCCUGUGGCCAAUCAUAUUUACCUUCUAGACAAAGAUAACUCACGCAUGUGAGGAAUUUGGCCUCUACUUUUACUUCAUUAGCACCAAGAACUGAGCUAAAUGGAUCUCCCUUAAGCAUCUGUGGCCUCAGAAUUUUUUCUCAGGUUCAUUAAACUGAAAACGCCCACCACCCCACCCUCCUUUUUAUUCCCCUCUUGGCAGUUUUCAUGUUCUCCAAAUGGAAGUUUAUAGAUAUGCAGCUCAGCAUUUAGCUGAUGUUUCUGUUGGUUGCAGAGCUAUUAGAAAUAGACUUUUUUCCUCACACAGUGACUCUUCCCAGCGUUCUCGUAUCACUAGAGAAGACAGCUCAGGGGGAGAGAGGAGCUGUCAAGCCCUAAGGCCUGAAUAACUGGGAAUCUGGCAAAUUUCCUGGAUUAUGAUGUCCCCUGGCUUGGGAGAAGUGCCAGCAGCGGGGGUGUCAGGGAGAGGCACAGUGUGCAUGUGCGUGUCAGAGCUCAUGAGCCCUGAAGGAGCAUGAGUUAGAUUCUGGGAUGCUUUCAGUUAUGAAAAGCAUUAUUGCUUUUGACCUUCUCAUCCCUCUCUCCGUGUGCAGAGUUUUGGUCAGUCUCAGUGGAACAUAAAAACUGUGAACACUAGCUGCAGUUUUGUUUUCAUACCUGGACAGAGCAUAAGUCCUGCCAUGAACACAGCAAAGAUCCUUCAGAAAGUCAAGAGGAAGAAGAAACAACGGUUCAUGUUAAACUUGAGACGUUAAUCUUGAAAUGCCACCGGUUCUCUUCUGAUUAGAUUACAUGCAGAAUAAAACAUGCAGGCAAUCCCAAA